AACGAACGCUGGCGGCAUGCCUAACACAUGCAAGUCGAACGAGACCUUCGGGUCUAGCGGCGCACGGGUGCGUAACGCGUGGGAACCUGCCCUUAGGUUCGGAAUAACUCACCGAAAGGUGUGCUAAUACCGGAUAAUGCCUUCGGACCAAAGAUUUAUCGCCUUUGGAGGGGCCCGCGUUGGAUUAGCUAGUUGGUAGGGUAAAAGCCUACCAAGGCGACGAUCCAUAGCUGGUCUGAGAGGAGGAUCAGCCACACUGGGACUGAGACACGGCCCAGACACCUACGGGAGGCAGCAGUGGGGAAUAUUGGACAAUGGGCGAAAGCCUGAUCCAGCAAUGCCGCGUGAAUGAUGAAGGUCUUAGGGUUGUAAAGCUCUUUUACCCGGGAUGAUAAUGACAGUACCAGGAGAAUAAGCUCCGGCUAACGCCGUG
rnacentral:rRNA from 1 species